rnacentral:ncRNA from 12 species
GAGUGCGCGAGUGCGCACUCACCACAACACAAAAGGGUUACCCGGGUCUCCCUGCCUGGGUAAUCCUUAU